rnacentral:rRNA from 1 species
GAUGAACGCUGGCGGCGUGCCUAAUACAUGCAAGUCGAGCGAACAGACGAGGAGCUUUCUCUUCUGACGUUAGCGGCGGACGGGUGAGUAACACGUGGAUAACCUACUUCUAAGACUGGGAUAACUUCGGGAAACCGGAUCUACUACCGGAUAAUAUUUUGAACGGCUGGGUUCAUUGGUGCAGGAGGGUUUUCCCGCACCUAUUAGCCGAUUCCGGGUUGGAUUAGCUAGUUGGUAAGGAAACGCCUUACCAAGGCGACGAUGCGUAGCCGACCUGAGAGGGUGAUCGGCCACACUGGAACUGAGACACGGUCCAGACUCCUACGGGAGGCAGCAGUAGGGAAUCUUCCGCAAUGGGCGAAAGCCUGACGGAGCAACGCCGCGUGAGUGAAGAAGGUCUUCGGAUCGUAAAACUCUGUUAUUAGGGAAGAACAAAUGUGGAAGUAACUAUGCACGUCUUGACGGUACCUAAGCAGAAAGCCACGGCUAACUACGUG